rnacentral:rRNA from 1 species
UCAAAAACAUCGCCUCUUGCAAAACUAACAAAUAAGAGGUCCCGCCUGCCCUGUGACUAUAUGUUUAACGGCCGCGGUAUUUUGACCGUGCAAAGGUAGCGCAAUCACUUGUCUUUUAAAUGGAGACCCGUAUGAAUGGCACAACGAGGGCUUAACUGUCUCUUCUUUCAAGUCAAUGAAAUUGAUCUCCCCGUGCAGAAGCGGGGAUCCACACAUAAGACGAGAAGACCCUGUGGAGCUUUAGGCACCAAGACAGAAUAUGUAAAGUACCCCAAACUAACGACCAAAACAGCUUAUGACCUGUCCUAAUGCCUUCGGUUGGGGCGACCGCGGGGAAACAAAAAACCCCCAUGCAGAAUGGGAGCACAGCUCCUACAGCUUAGAGCCUCCGCUCUAAUCAACAGAACCUCUGACUAAUAAGAUCCGGCAAUGCCGAUCAACGGACCAAGUUACCCCAGGGAUAACAGCGCAAUCCCCUUUUAGAGCCCAUAUCGACAAGGGGGUUUACGACCUCGAUGUUGGAUCAGGACAUCCUAAUGGUGCAGCCGCUAUUAAGGGUUCGUUUGUUCAACGAUUAAAGUCCUACGUGAUCUGAG